rnacentral:rRNA from 1 species
CUGUAAGCCUGUGAAGGUGGCCUGUGAGGGUUGCUGGAGGUAUCAGAAGUGCGAAUGCUGACAUAAGUAACGAUAAAGCGGGUGAAAAGCCCGCUCGCCGGAAGACCAAGGGUUCCUGUCCAACGUUAAUCGGGGCAGGGUGAGUCGACCCCUAAGGCGAGGCCGAAAGGCGUAGUCGAUGGGAAACAGGUUAAUAUUCCUGUACUUGGUGUUACUGCGAAGGGGGGACGGAGAAGGCUAUGUUGGCCGGGCGACGGUUGUCCCGGUUUAAGCGUGUAGGCUGGUUUUCCAGGCAAAUCCGGAAAACCAAGGCUGAGGCGUGAUGA